UUUCGUAGCUCUAGGUACUCCCCUCUUCGCUCUUCAGAGUUGGAUGUAAGAAGCGAGGGAGGAACCGGAAGAGGAAAUCUCUCUCCUCCUGGCCCUUCUUUACCCCGCCACCUCUAUGGUCUCAGGCAGGCGCUCUUGCAAAGAAGGAGGACUCCUCUCCAGGGGCUGCCGACACCAAGACCCACACACCCACCCUCGGUUGCCGCUCCUCCAAGGCCCUCUGAAGUUGGCAGUGAGCUCCAAGGGAAGAGCGAAGCCUAAGCGAGGUUGGGGGUUGGAAGACAGCAGGAAGGGGUGAGACGGAGGUGAUUUCUCUCUGCUGUUUUUGGGACCCAGAAGAAAGAACCCAAAUCCCGCAUCCCUCCCAACGUUUGCAAG